AAAAUUACGCAACACAUCGCAUAAACCCUUAGAUUGAAUCUCUGCAAUUGUAAAUACAAAUCUUUCCUCGAUAAUUACGUCACGUAAUCUGCUUUUGAAUAAAAGAAAAAAAAAAAAAACAAAAAAAAAAAAUAUAAAAAC